rnacentral:lncRNA from 1 species
AUGCCCCUUCCUUCUCAGCACCCUGCACAGACCCCUCUGUGGGACCCUCAGUGCCGAGCCCACCAGCACCACUCACCAGCACCAAGGCCACCAGCACCAAGGCCACCAGCUCCGAGGCCACCAACUCCGAGGCCACCUGUGGUGAGGAGCCUGGUGCUGCCCUCACCUGCCCCGGGGAGAACGCCGGCACCGGGUACCCCCACGCUCGGCACCAACCCAGGGACGCCGCCAACGCCGGGUGUCACUCCUGGCACACCGGGACCACCGGGCACCGCGCCUGGCACCCCUCCGACACCGGCACCUGCAGGAGAGGGGGUGAGGACACAGCCCAGGGCUGCAUGGGGCUGGGCAAUGCCAUGCCGGCAUACGCUAACCCUGUGUGGAGAUGGACUCACCGUACUUGGCUGCCUUGGCUGCUGCUUUUGCUGCUGCUGCCGGACCUCCGACUCCUGGGACAGUGAGACAAGGAUGGCCCCGAGCUGACAGAGACCACCGAGGGAGUCCGAGGUGUCCAUCCUGCCCCAGCCCUGUCCCAGUGCCAGCCCAGCUGCCACCACCGCCUGCCUCACCUGGGACACCUCCAAUGCCGGGGGCCAGGCCACCCACACCAGGAACCAAGCCACCCACACCAGGAGCCAGGCCACCUAUGCCAGGAGCCAGGCCACCCACGCCAGGAGCCAGGCCACCUGCCCCUGCAAGAAGAAGGAGAAGGACUGGGGCUCCAGCUCAGGAAGAGGGACCGGGGCUGCGAGAGGGCUGGGAUGGCCGGAGGUGCAGGUGGGAGGACGGUGGGAGAGGUGGUGGGAAGGAUGGUGGAUGG